rnacentral:rRNA from 1 species
AUUGAACGCUGGCGGCAGGCCUAACACAUGCAAGUCGAACGAGUGGCGGACGGGUGAGUAAUAUAUGGGAACGUGCCCAGUAGCGGGGGAUCACUACUAGAAAGAGUGGCUAAUACCGAAUACUAUUAGAUGGGCCGAUAUGGGAUUAGCUAGUUGGUGGGGUAAAGGCUCACCAAGGCCACGAUCCCUAGCUGGUCUGAGAGGACGACCAGCCACACUGGAACUGAGACACGGCCCAGACUCCUACGGGAGGCAGCAGUGGGGAAUAUUGCACAAUGGGCGCAAGCCUGAUGCAGCCAUGCCGCGUGUAUGAAGAAGGCCUUCGGGUUGUAAAGUACUUUCAGCGGGGAGGCGUUACCCGCAGAAGAAGCACCGGCUAACUACGUGCCAGCAGCCGCGGUAAUUC